UUAAAGACUCAGUUCACUUAGAGAAAGAGGUUCAUUGUGCGCUGCCCUAAGCCCCUAACCCCUUCUUGUUCGUGCUCUGCCCUAACUCCUCCAUCAAAAGUCCCAACGCGAUGAGACACUCACUGCCCUAACUCCUCCUCCUUCAUUGUGCCUCGCCCUCACUCGCCGUGGAUGCUCCCCUUUGCCGCUGCUCCCUUACGUCGCUGCAAAACCCUAACCCCCUAACCCCUUCCGCGCCGCUCCCUUCCUGCUUCUUGCUUCUUUGAUGUAUUGAAGGCAAUCUCGUUGAAGCAGAAGUGGGAUUUGAACGAUUUGCGGGUUCUUAAUUCGGAAUCUGUUGGGAACAGGUUCAGGUUCGGAACGUUUCAGAACUUCGAGUUCAUAAUUGGGUUUGGGAAAAAGAGCAAUUUUUCUGUGAAAUUCCCUUAGCCACAGGCGCUGCAGAAGCAGAACGCGGUCACCGCCGAGGCGCCGCACAAGGCACAGAAGCAGAAGCACUUCGUCGCCCUCUCCUCUUCCUCCUAAAUCGCGCAGUCCCAGUGUCGUUGCGAACCAUCACAAGCUCAAAAAAGACGAAGAAGAAAAGAGAAGGUAACUGAUUUUUGUUAUUUAUCCCUUCAUUUAUUUAUCUAUUUUGUAGUUUGUGUUCGUGAUUUUUUUCCUGAAUUGGUUGAUAAUUUAGUGUGUAAUAUUGGUGAGAAAAUGUGAAACGAAGAGAAUUCUAUUGGUUGAGACUAGCAAUUUCUGAUUCAUGCUUGCUAGUUUUAACUUUAAUUUAUGAAGAAUGCACCGCACUGGAAAUUGGGUAUGUUGAAAAUGCGUGAUAAUUUUAGCAGUUAUUCGAUGUAUUUUAGCUGUUAUUCGAUGCUUGCUAGGUUUUUGGGGACCUCAAAUAUAAUUUCGAGAGGGUGAGCCUUUGUAUUUCUAUAGUUAACAUGAAUAUGAAGAUAUAAAUCUGAUAGCAGUUUGGAGAUUAUGUAUGUGUGCAGAUUAAAACAGGGGGAAGAAAUUUUCAUGGACUUAAUUUAUGUAAAUUUUUUUCUCUUACUCUUAAUACUAUUUGUUCCUUUGUUAAUAAUGUUUAAUCCCUUCGUCCCUCCACCUUCGUCCCUCCGCCUUCGUCCCUGCUGGUAAUGUAUUCAUUAUCAGUUCUAUUAGUUAAAAAAUAAUGUUAAAUAAUAUUGUUGAAGUAAAACAGACCUAGAAGAAAGUCACAUUGAAUAAGAUGUUGAGUCGAAUGCAAGGUGUUUGGUUUUGGUUUUGGUUGAUUGCCCUGUUAUGAAAUUAAAGCAACAUUUCGUGCUAUGUAUGAUGGUUUUGGUUGACUGCCCUGUUAUGAAAUUAGUGUAGCGAGUGGUAUGUGACUUGAUGGAAUAGAGGUUGUUUAAAUGUGUAUUGCAUUUGGAGGUAGGUUGAGAAAAAAAAAAGGACAUGGCGUUCCUAGCAGCAGUUUUUAUUCUUCCUGCAGGCACUCUUUUCAUUCUCUCAGGCCUUAUUGUUAACGCAAUGCAGAUUCAAGAAUUUGACGAAGCAAGAAAGAAGUUCUCAAAUGCUAAAUCUCUUUCUUCCUCCCAAUUUUUUGAUCAGAACAAAGCUGUAGACGUGGCUGCUCAAGCUACUUUGUCAAAGUUUUCAGAUUUCCCGAGAGUUCUGAGGCUGGCGAAGCUGAGCAACAAUGGUGCUGUGCUCUUAUGCAAGAACACGAGUUUUUCUUUCUCUUCCCUCAAAUGGAGGAACCUUCUGGGAGGACAUGGUUCAAGCCGUGGUGUUUUUCUUUGUGAUGAGGACAUUUUCCUUUGGGAUGAGGACCUUGGAGUUUAAGAGUUCCACCCAGAUAAGAAUUUAUAUAUCUAUCAUUAAAAGUGAAGGGCUGGAGAUUUCACAACCAGCACUUGAUCCUCAACUUUCUGAAAGGUUAUGCUGUGGAGAUUUCACAACCAGCUCUGGAGAUUUUUCAGUUACUUACUGUGCUUAGAACUGGGCUUCGACUUCCUUGGUAUCCAAAUUAAAAGGUAUUGCUGAGAGAAAAAAGCUAGAGGACUUGACAAUUGGUCCAGUUCUCACUGUAAGUACAUGUCUUUCAUUUUCUUAAAUUUAAAAUUAAAAUAAGUGUUGGCAGCUUCAUACAUUUGUGUAUUAUUCUCCCUAAGAUAUGAUUUGUGGAGAGAGAACUACUCUUGAGUGCAGUAAGUGAGAAGAUAUGAACGAAUUCUAGAGUUAAUUGAAAUAAGUUAUACAUAACUAUUCUAGUGUUUAUAUCCAUGCUUUUGAUUGAUGAUUAAAAAGGAGUUUAUCUGGUGGGGGUGGGAGCUACGAACAAUUUGCUGCUUUCAGGUUAAACACACAUUUCCAAGUUUGUGCCCUAGUUGAUAUAGGUGUGCAUUAUUUAUUUGUUUGACAUUAUUGGUAAUGGUAAACUGCAGACUGUGGAGUCAUAUAUCCAAUAGUAUAUUAGUUGUUUGAUAAAUAAUUACUCAGAGGUUCUUUUUAAUUUUCUUACUUUAUUUCACUUCUUUUUUUAUUCUUUUUUUAUUUUUUAUGUGCAGUUUUCAACUGAAUCAAUGUUGUAAAUAGAGAAAAUUAAAUAGAAGAAAAGCAUAGCUUAACGAAAAGCUUUUGAAGAUGCAUAUACUCACAAUCAUGUUCUUAUAUACUUUUGGUUGUUGUGCUUGCAAGAAGGACAUACAAAAUUGGAGGUUGUGAUUUGAGCAGCACUGCUCCUCCUUGUACCAGGUAGAUUGAAAUGAUGGCUCAUGUUUUCUCAAGAGCUGCAUGGCAUUGCAUGUGGUAUAUGAUCCAGGUGGAUUGAAAUGAUGGCUCCCGGAUUAGUAAUAUGUAAUUCUAGGAUGGUAGCUUGCUUAGAAUCUUCGUUAGCUUGGGUACUAGUAGUGUUUUAUUGUUUCAGUAAAAACUAGUGGUCUCUUUUGUAACUUCCUAUUGAUUCUAAAAUUUUCUCUUAUGUAAUAAUAUGUAAAGCAAGUAGAUAAUGUAAUAGUUGUUGUAAUGAUUGGAUUAGUUGAUUUAAAAUUAAUGGUCAUUGUAUAAAUUUUACAA